CCUACGGGUGGCAGCAGUGAGGAAUAUUGGUCAAUGGACGGGAGCCUGAACCAGCCAAGCCGCGUGAGGGAAGACGGCCCUAUGGGUUGUAAACCUCUUUUGUCGGAGAACAAAACCCGGGACGUGUCCCGGGCUGCGUGUAUCCGAAGAAAAAGCAUCGGAUAAAUCCGUGACAGCAGCCGCGGUAAUACGGAGGAUGCGAGCGUUAUCCGGAUUUAUUGGGUUUAAAGGGUGCGUAGGCGGUCUGUUAAGUUUGCGGUAAAAUUGAGGGGCUAAAACCCGUCGAGCCGUUGAAAAUGGCGGACUUGAGUUGGCGAGAGGUACGCGGAAUGCGCGGUGUAGCGGUGAAAUGCAUAGAUAUCACGCAGAACUCCGAUUGCGAAGGCAGCGUACCGGCGCCAAACUGACGCUGAGGCACGAAAGCGUGGGGAUCGAACAGGAUUAGAUACCCGAGUAGUC
rnacentral:rRNA from 1 species